rnacentral:rRNA from 1 species
CACGCCGUAAAACGAUGUCGACUUGGAGGUUGUGCCCUUGAGGCGUGGCUUCCGGAGCUAACGCGUUAAGUCGACCGCCUGGGGAGUACGGCCGCAAGGUUAAAACUCAAAUGAAUUGACGGGGGCCCGCACAAGCGGUGGAGCAUGUGGUUUAAUUCGAUGCAACGCGAAGAACCUUACCUACUCUUGACAUCCAGAGAACUUUCCAGAGAUGGAUUGGUGCCUUCGGGAACUCUGAGACAGGUGCUGCAUGGCUGUCGUCAGCUCGUGUUGUGAAAUGUUGGGUUAAGUCCCGCAACGAGCGCAACCCUUAUCCUUUGUUGCCAGCGGUCCGGCCGGGAACUCAAAGGAGACUGCCAGUGAUAAACUGGAGGAAGGUGGGGAUGACGUCAAGUCAUCAUGGCCCUUACGAGUAGGGCUACACACGUGCUACAAUGGCGCAUACAAAGAGAAGCGAACUCGCGAGAGCAAGCGGACCUCAUAAAGUGCGUCGUAGUCCGGAUUGGAGUCUGCAACUCGACUCCAUGAAGUCGGAAUCGCUAGUAAUCGUAGAUCAGAAUGCUACGGUGAAUACGUUCCCGGGCCUUGUACACACCGCCCGUCACACCAUGGGAGUGGGUUGCAAAAGAAGUAGGUAGCUUAACCUUCGGGAGGGCGCUUACCACUUUGUGAUUCAUGACNGGGGUGAAGUCGUAACAAGGUAAC